rnacentral:rRNA from 1 species
GACGAACGCUGGCGGCGUGCUUAACACAUGCAAGUCGAACGGAAAGGCCCUGCUUUUGUGGGGUGCUCGAGUGGCGAACGGGUGAGUAACACGUGAGUAACCUGCCCUUGACUUUGGGAUAACUUCAGGAAACUGGGGCUAAUACCGGAUAGGAGCUCCUGCUGCAUGGUGGGGGUUGGAAAGUUUCGGCGGUUGGGGAUGGACUCGCGGCUUAUCAGCUUGUUGGUGGGGUAGUGGCUUACCAAGGCUUUGACGGGUAGCCGGCCUGAGAGGGUGACCGGCGACAUGGGGACUGAGAUACGGGCCAGACGCCGACGGGAGGCAGCAGUGGGGAAUAGGGCACAAUGGGCGGAAGCCUGAUGCAGCAAAGCCGCGUGCGGGAGGACGGACUUCGGGUUGUAAACCGAGUUGGCCUGGGACGAAGCGUGAGUGACGGUAAUGGGUAAAGAAGCACGGGCUAACUACGUG